rnacentral:rRNA from 1 species
AACGAACGCUGGCGGCGCGCCUAAUACAUGCAAGUCGAGCGAGAAGGUGUAGCAAUACACUUGUAAAGCGGCGAACGGGUGAGGAAUACAUGGGUAAUCUACCAUCGAGUGGGGAAUAACCAACCGAAAGGUUGGCUAAUACCGCGUACGCCUCCGAGUCUUCGGGUUCGGAGGGAAAGCUGCACUGUGAGUGUAGCGCUCUUUGAUGAGCUCAUGUCCUAUCAGCUUGUUGGUAGGGUAACGGCCUACCAAGGCUUUGACGGGUAGCUGGUCUGAGAGGACGAUCAGCCACACUGGCACUGCGACACGGGCCAGACUCCUACGGGAGGCAGCAGUAAGGAAUAUUGCGCAAUGGGCGAAAGCCUGACGCAGCGACGCCGCGUGGGGAUGAAGGUCUUCGGAUUGUAAACCCCUUUCGGGAGGGAAGAUGGAGCGAGCAAUCGUUCGGACGGUACCUCCAGAAGCAGCCACGGCCAACUCCGUGCCAGC